rnacentral:lncRNA from 1 species
CUCGGGUACAUUUUAUCUGGUUAACACCAUGGUGGACAUGCCUGCUGUAAGGUGUCCCCUUAGGAAGUAGGCAUUUGCGACCACAGCGGAGGACACGGACCCUGUAAAUGGCAUAACCUUACUUUGCCUUGUAUCCCAGCCUUUGCGCUUCAUCACACCGGGGAUCUGGAGAGCCCUAUGCAGCUCAGAGAGCUGGCGGAAAGAAAACGAGUGGUACACUGAAUGCUCUCUUCCGAGAGAUACAUCCUGGAGGAAGGAAAUAAUGAUGUCACUGGCCAAGGGCCUCAACACAGCCAGAAAAAAGAGCAGGCCUCCAAGAGACAACAAUGAAACACAGGACAACAAGAUACAAUAAAGCAAGGCAAGAGCUGUCACACCAAAGCUGGACAAGGCAACCAAACUAACAGGAGGAGACGAGUCCCAAGAUGUGUUAUCACCACCGUGCAACCGUGACCUUCACUUUAUUUUCUCAUCCAUAAGUGAUGCAAAUGGAUUAAACGGCAUUAAAAACUCUUCUUUCUAGAAUUCUGAAAGUGUAUAUGACUCCUGCAGCCAAGAAGCCUCUGGUCUCUCAGCAGUCAAAACUAGGCACAAGGUAAAUGUAUGUCUAAUUUUCAAGAUCUGGGAACAUUAGUUUACAUCAUGGAUCUGAC